AGAGUUGAUCCUGGCUCAGGAUGAACGCUAGCGACAGGCUAACACAUGCAAGGUCGAGGGGCAUCGACGGGAGUAGCAAUACAACUGGUGGCGACCGGCGCGACGGGUGAGUAACGCGUAUGCAACCUACCUAUCAGGAGGGGAAUAACCGGCGAAAGUCGGACUAAUACCGCAUAAAACAGGGGCACCGCAUGGUGAUAUUUGUUAAAGAAAUUCGCUGAUAGAUGGGCAUGCGUUCCAUUAGGUAGUUGGUGAGGUAACGGCUCACCAAGCCGACGAUGGAUAGGGAACUGAGAGGUUGGUCCCCCACACUGGUACUGAGACACGGACCAGACUCCUACGGGAGGCAGCAGUGAGGAAUAUUGGUCAAUGGGCGGGAGCCUGAACCAGCCAAGUCGCGUGAAGGAAGAAGGAUCUAUGGUUCGUAAACUUCUUUUGCAGGGGAAUAAGGUGCAGGACGUGUCCUGUUUUGUAUGUACCCUGAGAAUAAGGAUCGGCUAACUCCGUGCCAGCAGCGGC
rnacentral:rRNA from 1 species